UACAGAGGGUGCAAGCGUUGUUCGGCAUUAUUGGGCGUAAAGCGCGCGCAGGCGGUCCGGUAAGUCUCCGGUGAAAUCGCCCGGCUCAACUGGGCGGGUGCCGGGGAGACUGGCGGACUUGAGGAGCCUAGAGGCCGGUGGAACUCCCGGUGUAGUGGUGAAAUGCGUAGAGAUCGGGAAGAACACCAGUGGCGAAGGCGGCCUUCUGGACCAAUACUGACGCUCAUGCACGAAAGCGUGGGGAGCAAACAGG
rnacentral:rRNA from 1 species